UGUGACCCCAUAGGUUCAAUUCUAUCUAUUAGUGAGAUAUACAAUGAUCUCUAUCAUUGUAUCAUUGAAACUCUUUUCAAUAGAUCAGAAUAAUUUUACUCUAACUCAGCAGGAAUUAUCGAUCCAGAAUAAUCUUAGUGAGCUCUCACAAUCUACCAAUGACACCUAGGAGUAUGUAGUGGCAACCCAGUAGAACUGAAAUGAACCUCUAGGUGUAGUUAACGUGUGACUCAAUCUCUCUAUCAUGAGUUCCGACUAAAUGGC
rnacentral:lncRNA from 1 species